rnacentral:misc_RNA from 1 species
AAUGUUGCUGGCUCUUCGGAGCGAAGCUCGUUCGUAAUACAUUAGCAUUUCUAAUUCGAAUUCGGAUUGACUCAGUGUAAUAGACUAUUCGCUGAGGACACUAGUAAUAGUGGCCGUAUUCAAUACAAGAGAAGCUUCUAAUCCUUCUAGUCAUCUUUAGAUUAGACCUCAAAUCAGGUAGGAUUACCCGCUGAACUUAA